rnacentral:rRNA from 1 species
CCUACGGGUGGCUGCAGUCGAGGAUCUUCGUCAAUGGGCGAAAGCCUGAACGAGCGAUGCCGCGUGCGCGAUGAAGGCCUUCGGGUUGUAAAGCGCGAAAGAGGGGAUAAAGGGAAACUUGAUGGAACCUCAGUAAGCUCGGGCUAAGUUCGUGCCAGCAGCCGCGGUAAGACGAACCGAGCGAACGUUGUUCGGAAUCACUGGGCAUAAAGGGCGCGUAGGCGGGGAUGUAAGUCCGUGGUGAAAUACCCUGGCUCAACCAGGGAACUGCCUCGGAUACUGUGUCUCUCGAGGAAGAUAGGGGCUUGCGGAACGGCUGGUGGAGCGGUGAAAUGCGUUGAUAUCAGUCGGAACUCCGGUGGCGAAGGCGGCAAGCUGGAUCUUUUCUGACGCUGAGGCGCGAAAGCCAGGGGAGCAAACGGGAUUAGAUACCCCAGUAGUC